GUGGCUCCUGCAGUGACUGACUCUAAGGAAGCAGCAACAGCACCUUUGUCUCCACUUAGGUGAAAGGACUGCGCUAGCCAUGAAUAGCCGGCACAAGUCCCUGACUUGUUCAGUGUAGGAAGAGAAACCCUCAAGGAACAGGAGCUGGCUGCUUUGCAGGUUCUAUAAAUCCUCAGGCACUGUUGGAGUCUUUCUGAAGGACAUAAUAGUCCCACCAUGAAUGCUAAGAUCUCAAUUCACCCUUUUCUUGGAAAGCCUGAUGCAGCCUUCUUGUCCAAAGGUCUCUGGAGCCAUGUUCUUCAUGUCAUAGUUCUGAUGCUCUUCCCAUUCAUUCCUGUCUCCUAGAUGCUCAGAUUCGCCAAGAUGCAGUUACUUCCCUCUUCUGCAAAUAUUCCUUCAAUUACUUUGUUUUUGUUUUUUAAAUAUUUAUUAUACCAAUAUUAUAACAAUAAAAAUAUUUUAUAAGUGAAAAGAUAUAAAUCCAAGUUCAGAAAUCUUUCAUUUUUUUUCAUGUUCUCUUCCGGCCUUGUUUAUAAGUGGAUGACAUAUUUAUGCAGUUUUCAUACUUGAAUAAAAUUUUUAUAGUCCUGUAUAAUCUGCUGCACCUGGGAUCAAUUUCAGGGGGACAUUAAAGGGUUGUCAAUAUUGAUGAUCAGACACAUGGCACUUAUCUGUUUAUGGCCACUUGUGAGAAAGGUAUUUUUUUAAAUAAGGUUAGAAGUAGAUACUUCCCUCUUAAAACUCUAUUUUUGG
rnacentral:lncRNA from 1 species